CCUACGGGAGGCUGCAGUGGGGAAUAUUGGACAAUGGGCGAAAGCCUGAUCCAGCCAUGCCGCGUGUGUGAAGAAGGCCUUCGGGUUGUAAAGCACUUUCAGUGGGGAAGAAAGCCUUGGGGCUAAUACCCUCGAGGAAGGACAUCACCCACAGAAGAAGCACCGGCUAACUCCGUGCCAGCAGCCGCGGUAAUACGGAGGGUGCGAGCGUUAAUCGGAAUUACUGGGCGUAAAGCGCGCGUAGGCGGUCUGAUAAGCCGGUUGUGAAAGCCCCGGGCUCAACCUGGGAACGGCAUCCGGAACUGUCAGGCUAGAGUGCAGGAGAGGAAGGUAGAAUUCCCGGUGUAGCGGUGAAAUGCGUAGAGAUCGGGAGGAAUACCAGUGGCGAAGGCGGCCUUCUGGACUGACACUGACGCUGAGGUGCGAAAGCGUGGGUAGCAAACAGGAUUAGAUACCCCUGAGUC
rnacentral:rRNA from 1 species